AAAUACACACACACACUCACUGACAGAUACGCAUACACUAGCUAACAGAAACACAAACACACACACUCACUAGCAGAGACACACUCACUCACAGACACACUCACUAACACACACACUCACACACACUAACAGACACACACACUAACACACUCACUAAGACACACACACUAACAGACACACACACACACACACACACACUCACUAACAGACAGACACACUCACAUUAACACAUGUACUUUUUAACCCCCUCCC